AAAGUCGUAACAAGGUCUCCGUUGGUGAACCAGCGGAGGGAUCAUUACAGAGUUGCAAAACUCCCAACCCGAUCGUCUAUUUAUCAAGAAAAUCGUCUUGCUUUGGCGGGCGGCCCCAGGGCGGGGCCGAUGCCAGCGCUCCGGCGCGGCGCCCGCCGAAGAAGACGCCCCCCCAACUCUGUUAUUAGUACCACUCUGAGCCUAAAGACAAAUAGUCAAAACUUUCAACAACGGAUCUCUUGGUUCUG
rnacentral:misc_RNA from 1 species